rnacentral:rRNA from 1 species
UACGAAGGGGGCUAGCGUUGCUCGGAAUCACUGGGCGUAAAGGGUGCGUAGGCGGGUCUUUAAGUCAGGGGUGAAAUCCUGGAGCUCAACUCCAGAACUGCCUUUGAUACUGAGGAUCUUGAGUUCGGGAGAGGUGAGUGGAACUGCGAGUGUAGAGGUGAAAUUCGUAGAUAUUCGCAAGAACACCAGUGGCGAAGGCGGCUCACUGGCCCGAUACUAACGCUGAGGCACGAAAGCGUGGGGAGCAAACAGG